GACGAACGCUGGCGGCGUGCCUAAUACAUGCAAGUUGAGCGCUGAAGGUUGGUACUUGUACCGACUGGAUGAGCAGCGAACGGGUGAGUAACGCGUGGGGAAUCUGCCUUUGAGCGGGGGACAACAUUUGGAAACGAAUGCUAAUACCGCAUAAAAACUUUAAACACAAGUUUUAAGUUUGAAAGAUGCAAUUGCAUCACUCAAAGAUGAUCCCGCGUUGUAUUAGCUAGUUGGUGAGGUAAAGGCUCACCAAGGCGAUGAUACAUAGCCGACCUGAGAGGGUGAUCGGCCACAUUGGACUGAGACACGGCCCAAACUCCUACGGGAGGCAGCAGUAGGGAAUCUUCGGCAAUGGACGAAAGUCUGACCGAGCAACGCCGCGUGAGUGAAGAAGGUUGUCGGAUCGUAAAACUCUGUUGGUAGAGAAGAACGUUGGUGAGAGUGGAAAGCUCAUCAAGUGACGGUAACUACCCAGAAAGGGACGGCUAACUACGUG
rnacentral:rRNA from 1 species